GUGAGGGAAAGAUGACAAGCACUUUGAAAAGAGGGUGAAAAGAGCCUGAAACCGUCACGGGGGAAGCGGAUCGCGUUGGAUUGAUGGGCGCUUGCGUGUUCAGCCCUUUGGGUGCAUUGGCGCAAGUUGCUUAUCCGCUGUGAGUUUUCGGGGGUCGAUUUUGGACCCCUGGGGACUGAGGGCUCCCUUUUACAGGUGAGGACAGCGGAGUGACGACGCGAUACGACCCGUCUUGAAACACGGACCAAGGAGUCUAGCGCGGGUGCGAGUCGGAGGGUGCAAGCCCGUGGGCGAAGUGAAAGCGAGUGUAAAAACGAGCAGUUUGGGGCGGCAUAAGAUCGUUGAUCUUAAGACCGACCCAGAGCAGUUGCGCUGGGACCCGAAAGAUGGUGAACUAUGCCGGAGUAGGGCAAAGCCAGAGGAAACUCUGGUGGAGGCUCGUAGCGGUGCUGACGUGCAAAUCGCUCGUCGAACUUGGGUAUAGGGGCGAAAGACUAAUCGAACCAUCUAGUAGCUGG
rnacentral:rRNA from 1 species